rnacentral:SRP_RNA from 2 species
GCUGGGUGUGGUGGCAUGUGCCUGUAAUCCCAGCUACUCGGGAGGCUGAGGCAGGGGAAUUGCUUGAACCCAGGAGGCCAAGGUUGCAGUGAUCUGAGAUUGAGCCACUGCAUUCUAGCCUGGGUGACACAGCGAGACCCUGUCUCAA